AGCCCUACGGGUGGCUGCAGUGGGGAAUAUUGGACAAUGGGCGCAAGCCUGAUCCAGCCAUGCCGCGUGAGUGAUGAAGGCCCUAGGGUUGUAAAGCUCUUUCACCGAUGAAGAUAAUGACGGUAGUCGGAGAAGAAGCCCCGGCUAACUUCGUGCCAGCAGCCGCGGUAAUACGAAGGGGGCUAGCGUUGUUCGGAAUUACUGGGCGUAAAGCGCACGUAGGCGGAUAUUUAAGUCAGGGGUGAAAUCCCAGAGCUCAACUCUGGAACUGCCUUUGAUACUGGGUAUCUCGAGUAUGGAAGAGGUGAGUGGAAUUCCGAGUGUAGAGGUGAAAUUCGUAGAUAUUCGGAGGAACACCAGUGGCGAAGGCGGCUCACUGGUCCAUUACUGACGCUGAGGUGCGAAAGCGUGGGGAGCAAACAGGAUUAGAUACCCUUGUAGUCCG
rnacentral:rRNA from 1 species